rnacentral:rRNA from 1 species
GACGAACGCUGGCGGCGUGCUUAACACAUGCAAGUCGAACGGAAAGGCCCUGCUUUUGUGGGGUGCUCGAGUGGCGAACGGGUGAGUAACACGUGAGUAACCUGCCCUUGACUUUGGGAUAACUUCAGGAAACUGGGGCUAAUACCGGAUAGGAGCUUCUGCUGCAUGGUGGGGGUAGGUAAGUUUCGGCGGUUGGGGAUGGACUCGCGGCUUAUCAGCUUGUUGGUGGGGUAGUGGCUUACCAAGGCUUUGACGGGUAGCCGGCCUGAGAGGGUGACCGGCCACAUUGGGACUGAGGUACGGCCCAGACGCCUACGGGAGGCAGCAGUGGGGAAUAUUGCACAAUGGGCGGAAGCCGGAUGCAGCAACGCCGCGUGCGGGAUGACGGCCUUCGGGUUGUAAACCGCUUUCUCCUGUGACGAAGCGAGAGUGACGGUAAUGAGUAAGGAAGCACCGGCUAACUACGUG